GAUGAACGCUGGCGGCGUGCCUAAUACAUGCAAGUCGAGCGAACAGACGAGGAGCUUGCUCCUCUGACGUUAGCGGCGGACGGGUGAGUAACACGUGGAUAACCUACCUAUAAGACUGGGAUAACUUCGGGAAACCGGAGCUAAUACCGGAUAAUAUAUUGAACCGCAUGGUUCAAUAGUGAAAGACGGUUUUGCUGUCACUUAUAGAUGGAUCCGCGCCGCAUUAGCUAGUUGGUAAGGUAACGGCUUACCAAGGCGACGAUGCGUAGCCGACCUGAGAGGGUGAUCGGCCACACUGGAACUGAGACACGGUCCAGACUCCUACGGGAGGCAGCAGUAGGGAAUCUUCCGCAAUGGGCGAAAGCCUGACGGAGCAACGCCGCGUGAGUGAUGAAGGGCUUCGGAUCGUAAAACGCUGUUAUUAGGGAAGAACAAAUGUGUAAGUAACGAUGCACGUCUUGACGGUACCUAAUCAGAAAGCCACGGCUAACUACGU
rnacentral:rRNA from 1 species